rnacentral:rRNA from 1 species
AUACGUAGGUGGCAAGCGUUAUCCGGAAUUAUUGGGCGUAAAGAGGGAGCAGGCGGCAGCAAGGGUCUGUGGUGAAAGCCUGAAGCUUAACUUCAGUAAGCCAUAGAAACCAGGCAGCUAGAGUGCAGGAGAGGAUCGUGGAAUUCCAUGUGUAGCGGUGAAAUGCGUAGAUAUAUGGAGGAACACCAGUGGCGAAGGCGACGAUCGCGCCUGCAAAUGACGCUCAGGCCCGAAAGCGUGGGGAGCAAAGAGGAUUAGAUACCCUAGUAGUCCACGCCGUAAACGAUGAGUACUAAGUGUUGGAUGUCAAAGUUCAGUGCUGCAGUUAACGCAAUAAGUACUCCGCCUGAGUAGUACGUUCGCAAGAAUGAAACUCAAAUGAAUUGACGGGG